GAGAAAAGGUUUUCAUUCUAAUCGUUUGGAAUUGUCUUGCAAUUAAGACCAAUAUAAUUGAAAAUAUAAAAGUUAUUUGUAUAAAGUUAUGUAAUAUUGGUGAAUAAUAUUUGAAAUAUAAAAUUUAAAAUAGACAGUGAAUUAAUUAAAAGUAAUUUAAAAUAAAAAAAAAAAAAGAGACGGUAUAAUUGCAAUACAGUUACAAAUCACUAAUUAAAAAAAUAAUGUGUGAAGAAGAAUGAUGACCUCUUUCUCGACCGGACCCGGGCUUACUUAAGAGCUUGGCAGUGUCGUCAGAAUCAAAAUUUCACAUUUUAAUAUUUCCAAUAUUGAUUUUGUUCCGGAAUCACAAACAUAAUUAUUACAGAGCAAAAAAAAAUUGCUUCAUUUUAAGAUGGUCAUGUAAAAUAUGAAAAAAAAAAUGAAUAAUGUUUUAACACUGAAAUAUGGGGAUUAUGUAAAUUUUGAAAAAUUCUUUAAAUUUAAAAUUUAAUUUUAUUUGUAUAGCCAAAGCUGGAUUAUAAUCUACUUUUAUUGUAUAUUAUUAAUGAUCGAGUUUAACAACUGCAACUUUAAUAUUAUUAAUAUUGUUUUUGUAAUUCACAAUGAGAGAAAUUCACAGCAAGAAUUCGAAUGAUACAAUUUAAUCAUCUGCAAAAUAAUAUUAUGCAUAAAUGUUGUAUAAAAGUUUUUGAUUGAAAGAAAAGUAAUAAUGUUUUUAGUGUUAUACAUAACAUGAGAUGAGCUAUAUAAAAGUUGAUUUAGUAAGUUGAUUUUUCACAAUAUUUCUCGCCCAAAUUUUUUUUUUUUUUAUUUUCCAGUCAAUUUUUUUGUGUUGUUUUUUUCUAUUUUCAAUUUGCAUUUGCUUUUCCGUUUUUUUUUUUUUUUUGGAAAGUGUUGUUUAAAAAAAUGAAAUCUUUAAGCAAAUUCAAUAUGAGAAAAGGGAAUCAAUGCAGAGUGUGUGGCAAGCAUAUUUAAAAGAAAAAAAAAAAUGAUCUGAAAAAAAAAAUCAAAAAAAAAGGGAAUCCAAAUUGUAAUUUUAAUGAAAAAAAAAAUCAUCAAAAAUUAAAUAUUUUGAAAAAUUCAUCGGGUUUCGUAAGUGUAUAAUUUUUUGCUUUUAUAAUUACAACAACGUUGGAAAUUUUGUUUCUUUUCAGAUUUUUUGAUGUUUUUUUUUAUUAUGAUAAAAUUUGUUUCCACUUUUUUAGUAAAUUAUACUUACAUAAAUUUGUUUUCCUAUACAAGCAUUUUUAAUUCACAAUAGCAAAAUUAAUUUGAAUAUUUUCAAAUAUUUUUAUAAAAUGUUUUCUUAAUAUAAAUAGGUGAAAAUUGCAUAUUUUUUAUAAGUGUGUUUAAUUUUUAUUAAAAUAAUACAUAGUCUAAAAUUCUAAAAUAUAAUUAAUAUAAAUUAUAUAAUAGUUAUAUAUUAUACGUGUAUUAAAAUGAAAUGCAACCAGUGUCUGUACUUAUAAAUAAUUAAUACCAUUUUAUAUAAUGUAAUUUCAAAUUUUGUUAAAAAGAAAUAUUUUUUUGGUUCUUUUAUUUAAUAUAUUAUUUUUAAUAGCAUUUAUUAUUCAUAUAAAUAUUGUUUUUUUAAAUGUUUCAUACUAAAAAAAAAAUAAUUUUUUUAAGUAAUUAAUUCUAAUUUUCAUAUAUAAAUGAAAAAUUUAAAAAAUGUAGUGCAAAAUUUUAAUUUCAAAUUAUUUCAUUUUUUUUGGUGGGUUAUAUAUAUAUGUAUAUAUAUACAUAAUGUAUAUAUAUUUCAUAUUGUUCAUACAAAAAAUAAUAAUUGUUCAUUUAAAAAAUUAAAAUAAUAAAAAAGUUCUCACAAAAAAAAAAUAUGAAAAUUUAAAGCGUCCUAAUAAUUUUGUAUAAUAGCACUAGAUAUAUAUAAAGCUACAUAUUUAUUAUAUGGUCUAUUUUUGUGUAUGUUUCCAAGUUAAUUUUGUUUAAACAAAAAUAAAAAAAUUAAAAUUUAAUAUAUUUACAUAAAAAUCAUAAUUUCUCUGAUUAAUAAUAAAUUUACAUAUUAUAUUUAUUGUUUUUUUAAAAAUGUAGUUCUAUUGUAAUUCUACUAUAUACUUUUAAUUAUAUAUAUAUAAUAUAUAGAAAGCAAAAAAUCACUAAAAAAAAUUAUGCAAUUCAUUUUCUUAAAAUUUGUGAUAUUAUUUUUAAUUAAUAUUUUAUAUUAAUACGGUGCAAAAGUUCACAAAAAGCUAUUAAAUGCAUUUUCAAAUUUAAUUAUUAUGGUUAUAAAAAUAUAAUUUAUAUUCAUAAAUAUAAAAAUAUCAGUAUAAAAAUAUAAAUAUGAAUAUUAUAUAGUUAUCAACUAAUUUAAUAUUGUGAAAUAAUAAUCUCCAUAUAGAAGUAUAUUUAUUAUUAUAAUAUAUAAAUAAUUUCUAUAUUAUGAAAUUUUAAUUCUUUCAAAAAAUGGGUUUUUUUAUUAUAAUAUUACUUAUAAUUGUGCUUUUGUAUUUUAUUUUCUUAAUAUUUUAAUUUGUUAUUUAUAUAAGAUUUAUACUAUACAUAAUAAUUUUUAUUCAAAUGAUUUAUUGUGCUUUCUUAAUAAUGAUAUAUAAAAAUUAUAUUAUUUUAUUCUGCUAAAAAUGUUUCUAUUAUAUUUGCAAAAGCCUUAAAGAAAAUAAUUGAUAAAUUAAAAAAAUAAUAUUGUUAAGUGUGAUAUUUUAUAAAAGUUCUUGUUCAAUUUAUUUUAAUUCAAAAUAUCUUAUUAAUUAUAUAGAGUUAUAUCAAAUUAAUAAUACCCCCUCUACAUAUGUGUGAAUUAAUUAAUGUCAAUGUGAUAUAUAAAAUAUUAUACAUAUAAUAAUUUCAUUUGUCCAAUAUAUGAAAAGUUUUAAUACAUAUAUUAAUAUUCAAAAUGUAUAAGUAAUUCAAAAAAUAUGGGAAAAUUUAAUAGUUUGAUUUGUCUAUAAUAUAUUUUGUUUCUUUAAUUAUAUAGAUGAGAUAAAAAUUAUCUCGAAUCAUUAUAUAGCCAGAAAAUUGUGUUGAAAUAGUUCUACCAUAUAUAUAUAUAUAUAUAAUUAUGUUCAAAUUAGAUGUACAUUUAUCUAUAUAAUAUUGUACAUCUUAAAUUUGUUUUUAAGUUAUUAAUUUAAUUUAAUUUACGUGAUUUCCUAUUAUUUAUUUAAUUAUGUUGUCAAAAUGUUCAUAUGAAGAAGGUUCUAUAUUCAGUGUAAAUUUCAAAUAUGAGAAAAUUAAAUGAAAAAAAAUAUGUAUAGAAAAAUUUCAAGAGAGAAAAAAAAGAAGUUAUACCUAAUAAUGUGAAAUCUAACAAAGUUUGUUUUGUUAUACAUAUACGACAAAUGCUCUUGCUUUUCUUGUUUCUGUAAUAUUAUUUUUUUAUAAUAAUAAUGUUGUAAUAAUAUUUAUUUAUAUAUUUUAAUAGUAAAUAAUAUAUAAGACACUGGUUGAAUAUAAAAAAAAUUGUUUGCUGCGUUAUAAAAAUUUAAUUAUUCAAGCUAUCAAUUAUAUAUAAAUUAUUAUACAAAGAAUAUUCUUAUAUAAAACAAAUCUUUAAUAAUCUGGGAAUCAUUUUAUAGUUAUAAUUAUUUUUAAUUUAUUUUAAAAAUGAAAAAAAAAAUAAUUUUAUAAUACUUAUCAAUAUUUAAAUCGCCAUUAUAAUUAUUACCAUAAUAUUCUAUAUAUUAAUUGGUUAUAUGGGAGUAAAGAAAAUUAAAAAUCUUAUUACACCACUAAUAUUUACGUAUACUUAAUUAAAUAAUUUAGAAAGCAAAUAAUUAUGCUAUACUGUUUAUUUGUGAGGUUAUAUAAUUUUUGUGUAUAUUUUUUUUUUUGAUUGAAUUGAAAGUGAAUGUUCAUUUCUUUUGUUUUUCUACUCAUAUUUAUUUUGAAAAUGAAAAUUAUUUUUAAAUCAAUAUAAUAAUAUUAUCUGUAUAAUUAAUUAAAUAUUAUAUAAAAAAAUAACUAAAAUUAAUAAUCAUUAUAUAUUGCAUAUAUUUACGUACGUAAAUAUAUAUAGAGCAAAUUUUAAGCAAAUAAUUACAAAAAUGUUUAUACUUGUAAGCUCUAUAUGAAUUUUUAUAUUCUUAUAUAAUAUUAUACAAUUUUACUAUGUAGUCUAUAUAACUAAAGUAUAUAAAAAAAAAUCAUUAUUUUUUCAAUACUACUUACUACUACUACUACUACUACUAUGCUUAUCAAAAUUUAUAUAUAUACAUUAGUAGCAUAAAAUAUUUUCAAUGUGCGUCAAGCUAAACUUUUUUAUAUUAUAAAUUUAAUUAUACUUAUGGUUUUUUCAUCAAUUAAAAAUAUCCACCUUCACCAAUAUAUAUAAUAUAAUAUCAACCAACUACAAUGUAAACAACAUAUAAGCUACACAACUACUAUAUGGAAUUAAUUAAUACUUCAAGUUAAUGUUUUUUGUGCAAAAUUUUCAAUUUUUAUAUACUUAUAUAAUAUUAUUUAAUGUAUAUUCAAAUUAUUUUGUUUUCACCUAUAUAUAUAUAUUUAUAUAUAUAUCCAUAUAUAAGUUAAUUGCAACAAACAAAAAGGAAAUGCUUUUGUUUUUUUGUUAAUAUUUUGUUUUCCAUAUUUCUUAAUAUUUGAUUUGGAGAGGAAAAAGCGUAUUUAACAUAUUUUAAAAGAAAAAUUUGUUUUACACAUUAUUAUAUAAUAUUUAGAUGAAAAUUUUAGAAAAAAAAAAAAUGAAUUAUAGCAUGAAAAAAAAAGAAAAAUCCGGACGGAUUUGAUUUAUUUUUUGGCAAAAUGUUAUAGUAACUAAUUUAAUUUUGAUGUGUUGGUAAUACUUUUAUAUAAUACUAUAUUUUUUAGAUUUUUGUUUUCAUUUCGUAAAUUUUCAAAUAAUUUAUUUUCUUAAACAUUAACACAAUAUUUUCAAUAUUUUUUCGUUUAUUAGUUUUCUUUUUUCUUAAUGUUUUUUUUUACAGAAAUUUGUGGUUUUUUUAUUAAAUUUAUAUUAAUUAUAUAUAAAUAUUUAAUGAUUUUAUUACAAUAACUAUUUUUUUAAUUAAAAGAAAUCCAAAUUUCAAAUUUAUUUUCUACAUUUAUUCAAUUUUUAUUAAUGAUAUUUAAUAUUUUAUUAUUACAAAUGAAUUCAUAUUUUUUUCUUUUAGUUUCCUUUUUAUUAAAUACAAUUUAUUUUUUUUGCAUAUUUUCUUAAUUUUUUCUCUUUAAUUAUAUUUUUAUUUAAUAUUUUAUUUGAAAAAGUUAAUCAUAUAUUUUUAUAAAAUUGUUUUUUGAAUAUAAACCAAAGGAAAUAUUUUUUUUUACAAAUAUUAAUGAAAAUAGUAUAUAUUAUUUACAUAUAUGAAUUUUACUAUGGUAGAAUAGAAAAAUAUAAAAAAAAAUCAUUUUUAUACAUAAUUUAUAAUUAACUUAAAAUUACAGAUAAUUAGAUCUGCACACUAAAAAUAUAAUUUUGAUGUAAAAUUAAUACUCACUUUAUUGAAACAAAUAUCAAGAAAAAAGCAAAAUCACGAAUUUAAGCAACUGUAAUACAUACAAGAAAAUAUAAACAAAAUUAAAAGAAUAAUUCAUAUGCUUGCAAAUGCUAUAUAAAUAAUAUAUAUAUGAAAAGAAAAUUUAUUAUAUAAUUAAGUAUCCUGCUAUAUAUUUUCACAUAACUGGCGAAUUUUUUUUUAUUAUGAUUACAAUUAUUAUUAUUAUUAUUAAUAUUUAUUAAUUUUAAUGGCGAAUUCUUUUCUCUAGUCUUUGUAUUAUACAUAUUUAUUAUAAAAAAUAUCGAUCAUCAUUAAUGCAAAAUGCAAAACAAAUGAAAUACUUCAUUCAACAUACAACAAUCAAAUUGUGUCAAAGAAAAUAUUAUCAAAUUAUGUCAAAUACUUCGACAAAAUAUUUUUUUUUUGUUUGAACUUGUUGUAUAUUAAUAUUAUUGUAAUUUUAUAAUGUUGUUCUUUUGGUGUACUUAUAUUAUGUAUUCGAAUCCAUUUUAUAUUUUUUUUUUAUCUAUGUUAGUUACUCUUAAAGAAAAAAAAAACUAUACUUUACAUUAUUGUAAUUAUUCGGAUUUUUGUAAAAAAAAUUUUUAAAGCCAUUUUUGCAAAGCUGAAUGGCUUUUAGAAGAAUAUUGAAUUCCAUUAUUUGUUUUUCUUUUACAAGUUUAAAAUUCCAUUCUUAAAAAUUGUGGGCAGUGUCCUUUAAUAGAAUUUGUAAUAAAUUUUUAUUUUUUCCGUCGUAUAAGUAAGAGAUAAUCAUUUGAAAUAAUUUCAAUUUAAAUAAAUAAUUGUCUUACAUAGAUAAAAUUAAGAAUUUAAUUUUUGUAAAAUUUUUGUGGUAUGAAAAAAUAUGAAAAAAAAAAAAUAAAUUAAAAAUUAAAAAAAAAAUAUUAAUGGUUCAAAAAAAAAAAAUAAAAAAAAAAUAUUUAAAAAAUAUAAAAAAAAAAAGAAGAAAAGAAUAAAGAAUAAAAAAAAAAUAUAAAAAAUAAAAAAAGUGUUAAAAAUCAAAAAAAAAAAAUUGAAAAAAAAUAUAAAAAAAAAUUGGAGAAAAAAUUAAAUUAAAAAAUAAAUAAAAAAAAUUAAACGAACAAAAUAGAAAAAAAAAAAGAAAAAAAAAUCAAGUUAUACUUGACAUACUUUUCGUUUUUACAUCCUUUUUUCAUUUUUGUAUUUUCAAUUUAUCUUUAUUAUUUAUAAGUCCUUUAAAUGAAUUGAUUUUUAUUAAAAUAUUUUUCGUAUUUUCAAUAUUUUUUUAAAAAAUAUUUACAUUUUUGCUAUAAAUACAAAAUUUGCUAUAUAUUUCAAUGUUUGUUACCUAAAAAUAUAUUUUUCAUUUAUUUAAUUUCAAUAAUUAUUGAAUUAUUUUUAUUACUUAUGUACUUAAUCUACAUAAUUAUAUUGUUAAUUUUGAUAUCUCUUAUUUUAUAUUAAAAUUUUGUUUAUUAUAAUUAUUCACUUAUAUAAAAAAAAUGUAAUUCAUUAUAUGAAACUAUUUGUAUAUAAAACCAUAAUUUUCGUUAUAUUUAACAAUAUUGUCAAAAAAAAAAAAAGAGGACACUGCCUUAAUUUCAUAUUUCAAUAUUUUUGUAUAUACUUACAUAGAUUCAAUUUUUAUUUUCAAAAAAUUUCUGUAAGAAACAAAAAAGAAAACAAGAACCAAAAACAUUUUAAAACAAAUAUGUAACUGUAUAGUUUUAAAAAAAAAAAGACAUCUUGAAACAUCAUGAUGAUAGCAAGGCAAGAAUGAUUCCUGUAUAUGCAGAGAGGGUGAAUGAACUUUUAUCAUUCCUAUAUAUACAUUUUUAUUUUUUAUGAGCAAUUCAUAUUAUGAUGAUCUUCUUAUACUCUAUAUUGAGAUUGACAGCGGCAACAGUUUCUUUUUGAAUCAAUUUAUUUUUCUGGUUUUCCUGUUACCUACAUAUAUAUUUUUUUUGGAAAAUUCCUGAGUAACACACAUCAACAUUGAAGAGAAUCUAUUAUAUUUUUUUUAUUUUCCACAACUUCAACACUUUUGAUUAUUAAUGGAAAUCUCACAAUCAAUAUUAUUUUUCAUCAAUAAACACCAAUUUUAUAUAUACAUACAUAUGUACAUAUGUGACUUAGUAUUAUCAACAAACAACAAUAAUUAUAAUUCGAGAGGGAACCAUAUUAACUUCUUAUCAACUUAUUUUUACUGGUUAUUUGAAUAAAAAGAACAAAAAACUUAGUGUCAACAAUAAACAAACUUCAAUAAUCUAAAUUGUAUCAGCUUUCAACUUAAUAUAUAAUAUUUUGUUAGUUUUCAUGAAAAAUCACACACAAUCAACGUCAACUCAUCAACAUUUAACGCAAUAUAUUUAGAUUUUAAUUGAACAUUUCAAGUUUAAUACAAUAAGAAAUAACCUGUCACCAUGGUAUAUGCACAUUUAACCAGGACUUUUCAUUAAUUUUAUACCCAACAACUAACUGAUAGAAAUGUUAAAAAUAUAACAUAUUAAAUCAACAAAAUAUAUGUAAUUGUACGUGAUUUAACUUAAGAGACAAAUUCUUCCAUUCAGCAUCUCUUCGAGAUAUUUUACAAAACAAUAUUGUACAAAUUGAUACCAAGAUUUAAGCUUACGUAUGAUGUAUGUCUUCUUAUCAAAAAAAAAAAAUUUUUUUUGGCCGAGCAUGUCAUUAAUAUUGUCAAAAUUUCUAUUGACUGAAACAUUAGUAACCAUCACUAUAACUUGGUAAUUUUUUUCUGUUACUUUAACUUUGUUAGAUUUUGAAAAUAUAUUACAGCAAAGUUGGUAAUUAGCGUCAUCAAAUAUGUGUCGGCGAUGAGCAAAGAAUUCUACUCAAAUAUACCUUGGUCCCCAUAACAAAAUAUAACUUUAGCUGAGGAAAAGGGUUUUCGGAAAAACGCAUAUAGGUCUUUCUUUGUCGUUAUCGAGAACAUCAUCUUAUCAAUAACUGAAUGCAGUGAAAGUUAUUAUGUGUUAGCAAAAAGCCUUUUGUGUUUCAAAUUGGGACCAUUUGUUUUUAUCGAUUCUAAGGGCUUACUACAUCUAGUGGCUACAUCAACCAAAGAACGUAUAGUGAGACUUUCAUAUCAAUUCUAAGGGCUUACUACAUCUAGUGGCUACAUCAACCAAAGAACGUAGUGAGACUUUCUUAUCAAUUAUAAGGGUUUAUACUUAGUGGCUGUAUCAACCAAAGAACGUAGUGAGACUUUCUUAUCAAUUAUAAGGGUUUAUACUUAGUGGCUGUAUCAACCAAAGAACGUAGUGAGAGUUUCUUAUCAAUUAUAAGGGUUUACACCUGGUGGCUAUUGCAAGAAAAACCUUAGUGGGACCUUUUUAUCAAUUAUAAGUGUUUCCGUUUAGUGGCUAUAUCAACCAAAGAAAGUAGUGAGACUUUCUUAUCAAUUCUAAGGGUUUACACAUAGUGGCUAUAUCAACAAAAAAUUUAGUGAGACUUUCUUAUCAAUCCUAAGGGUUUUCAUCUAGUGGCUAUAUCAACAUAAGAUCGUAAUGAGAAUUUCUUAUCAAUUCUAAGGGUUUUCAACUAGUGGCUAUAUCAACCAAAGAGCGUAGUGAGACAUUCUAAUCAAUUCUAAGAGUUCUCAUCUAUUGCCUACUUCAACUAAAAAAUAUAGUGGAACUUAUCUAUUCCAAGGGUUUCAUCAUGUUUAUUUAAAGAGAUUCAAGAAGAUAUGUUAUUUACCAAUACAAUGUGGGUGAAAAAGUGUUCGUGCUUUUAGAUUUGUUUGUAAAUAAUUUACAAACAGAACGUCGAGUUACUCUUUCUAUCUUUAACAACAAAAUUGUGCCCAAAAUGUGCAACGAGUGCCUGAUUUUCUAUAAUUAUACAUCAAUCGCAGAAUGUUCCUACUGAACAUAUAGCAAUUGUAGCAAGUUAGAAUCAUCUGAAGAAUAAGGCGUUGAAUAACAUAUAAUCCAGUUUUAUGUAUUACACGCCAAAGGAGUUUUUGACUUAUAAUUUUAAAAUUAUACGAGUAUCACUAUUUACUAAGUUCAGAACGCAAUGAAAAAUUUGGAUGUGUUGGUUUGUUAAUCUGUAUGUAUUAACAAAAGAAAUUAUUUUCUAAGAGAUAUAAGCGGGAUUGACCAAAUCAUAUAUCACAUUAAUACUUUUCACAUGUUAAACUCACAUGAAUUUUCGCUUCCAUUUAAAAGUCGAUGAAAUUAAGAAAAUGAUCAACUGAAUUUCUCUUUGAGUUCCAGUAGAAUUCCAGUGGAAGUUCCAUUCUUUAAUAAAAUUUCAAAUAUCCAUUGGUGGCAAAUAAUGUUAAAACAUAUUACUUUAAAAAAUUAAAUCGUUGUGAUGUAUACAAUAUCGAUCUCUAAAAUUUGUUGAUCAAUUUUGAUAUUAUCAAGAUUACAACAUCAUCAUUGUGUAAUUUUUGCUCUGGUACCUAAAAAGCUGGUUUAAUUAACACAUUUCUAGUAAUGGUUAAAACACAUCAAUUGAGAUCGCAUUUAAUAAUAAAGAGCUAUUCAAUAGAAUUCAAAAUUGAAAUAUCUUCAUUGUGGAAGAUAAGCAUUUUAAAAAAAUCAUAUUAAACCAGCAGCAUUAAAAAAUCGCGAAAUUAUAAGUUCAAGUAUAAUGUUAUAAAUGAGUAAUGCAUCGUAACAGAAAGUAACGCAAAGAAUCACAAAGUAGUAGCACAAAGUAACGCAAAGAAAUAAAGUAAAUUUUGAAAAAUAAAUAAGUUAAUGUUAGUUGACCUAAAACGAAAAACAUGCAAUGCAACACUGACCAAUCUGAUUUGACUGCGGCGGUGGACUUCAAUCAACAGACUGCGGCGAUGGACUUCAAUCAACAGACUGCGGCGGUGGACUUCGAUGAACAGACUGCGGCGGUGGACUUGAAUUAACAGACUGCGGCGAUGGACGAAUUGAAUAACAGACUGCGGCGAUCGACGAAUUGAAUAACAGACUGCGGCGGUGGACGAAUUGAAUAACAGACUGCGGCGGUGGACGAAUUGAGUACCAGACGGCGGCGGAGGACUUAAAUGGUGCAAUGACUUAAAUGGAGACUGAUAUAGUGGACUUAGUGAUAAGUUGAGCAACAGACUGCGGCGAUGGACUUCAUCUUAACAACUGAUUCACUAUAUCGAAACUGAUUGUAGAAGAAAAAAGUAACCUCCUGAUUUCAGCAGUUGCGAUUCAAGAUUAAAACAAAGCAUUAAUUAAGAGCUAUCAUUUUGUUCUUAACAAAAUUCAAAAAUGUUUCGAUUCUUCAAGAUUUCAAAGUUUUUCGAGGGGUUUCCAGUACUGAAUGCAUUGCAACCACAAAUUUAACAUAUUACGAUUAAGAUAUCUGCAAUAAGUACAAAAUCUUGAAUAAACGCGCAAAUUCGCAAGACAAAUUCAGUUAGUAAAACCUUUUGCAAAAUACAUAGAAAUAGACUAGCAUAUGACGGCGUUAACUUAAAGUUUUAAAUCGAAAAAUGUUGAUUGCGACAAAGAAGACGAACUUUUGACCGUGGCCAUGUAGAUUAACUGUGUGGGAGAGGAUAAUUGUUAACUGAGGUAUGGUAAACUGGCUGUUGACUGCGGCGAGGGAGUCUAGCUGUUGACUGCGGCGAGGGAGGCUAGCUGGUGACUGCGGCGAGGGAGUCUAGCUGGUGACUGCGGCGAGGGAGUCUAGCUGGUGACUGCGGCGAGGGAGUCUAGCUGUUGACUGCGGCGAUGGAGGCUAGCUGAUGACUGCGGCGAUGGACGAGCACCUGACAGCGAGGGUCUUUGGCUUUUGAUUGCAGCGGGGGACAUCACUCGUUGACUGCGGCGAGGGACUUUUGGCGAAGGUCAGUGUUCAGACUGCGGCGAGGGAUCAAGUCACUAACAUUUCUUUGCAUGUCACUAACAUUUUCUUGCGUUUACUUUAAAUUUUUAUUAAGAAGAUUUUACAAUAUUUAAUAAUUUUGUGCGUUACUAUGCCAAGUUUCGAAAAUAAGCCGAUCUCAAUUUAACGAAAAAUUAGUGGAUGUACCGGUUCAAUAACGAAAAAAAUAUUUCCAAAGACUCAACAAAAAUGUUACGCAUUCACAAAUUACAUGACAACAUGUACUAAAAUUGUAAUUUCAUAAAAUCAAGCUAUUUUAAAUAACUGAGAAAACGUUGAUUAGUUGUACUCAGAGCGUGCUUUUUUACUAUUCAAUCAUUUUUGAUAAUGGCAAAGUUAUAUUAGAAAUUUAAGCUUGCUUCAAAUCAUUAAUCAAAAUCGACAUGAAAUCGUUUUAACAUUUAUGCAUGCGAGUAUGUGUUUCACUUAAUUACAACGUACAACAACCUUUGUUAUAACUACAACUUUGUAUUUUUGUGCACCUGAAUUGAUUACGACUCGAAGUGUUCGUGUUUACUUUGAUAGCAGAUAAGAUUUUCACAGUGAAGAUUAAGAUCUCUGACGUCGAUUGUAGAACAAGAUUUGUUUUUCACAACGAGUAAAAUUGAUAGUUUUUUGAUUACGGUUUGCAACUUUUUGAGGCUGAGGCUUGAAAUUUUUAUUCAUUAUUUUUUUGGUCAUGGCUUGGAAUUUCUUCGAACUAUAGACUGCGGCGUGGGAUUUUUUGAAGACAUGAACUGUAGCGUGGAAUUUUUUGAAGACGUAUACCUCGACGUGGGAUUUUUUGAAGACAUGAACUGCGGCAUGGGAUUUUGAAGUUUCAUUGAGUGCAGUGUGGGAUCAAGUGUUUUUGACUGCGGCGUGGGAUGUUGCAGGUUCAUUGACGGCGGCGUGGGAUUUAUCUGUUCAUUGACUGCAGCAUGGGAUCUGGCGGGCUUAUUGGCGGCGACUUGAGAGGCGUUAAAUUGACUGCGGUAUCGGAAUAUUACAACGUGCGAUUUAUAAUUUCUUGAUUACAACAUUAGAUUACUAUACAUAAUUGAAUACUAUACAAAAUCCAUUUGAUCGCAAUGUAUAAUGUGUAUGAAAAUCAACCAUUGUAAUUGGAAUAGCAUUAGAUGUCACGGCGAAUUCAAGCGCCUAAAUAGAAUGUACUUUCAUUUGUUUAGAGAACACUUAUCUAUUUCACACAAUCCAGUUAGACUCAAUUGAUCGAACGAGACAACAAUACGAAUGCACACAUAGUCUACAAGUCUAUAAGUCUAUACAGUCACAUAGUCUAUAAGAAUUUUUGUAAAACUAUUAUAUUUGAAGUAACAAUAUUUUUCAAAAACUUCUAAUGGAUAAUCUUCAAUAGUUGGUAAAGUUAACAUUUCGUUUAAAACUCAAGCCAUGCAAUAGUAGUAUUUCAGUUGAUCGAUGAACAUUGAAUCGCAAGUACAAAUAUUUCAUCUAAUAACAAGCAAUCGUUUAAUCCAAAGCUUAUCAUAAUACAACUUGGUCCAACAUAAAAUUCAUAUGUACCAAUCUUAUUCAUUAUUUGCAAUUCUUUUUUAUACUCAGUUAACAUUGUAAGUUUUAUGUACUUAUGAAAGGGACACUUUUGUUACGCUAUUAUUCAUAUAUAUGUAGGUCUUUUGUAUCGAAGAACUUCAGUAUUAUUUUAAAAUUCCAUAUGUACAAUAUAUUAGGUUAGCUACUUAGUCUUACAUGAACUUAAUGUAAAUUUAUACAUGAGAAUGCAGCAUAUUUUCUUGGUUAUACAUAUUUUAUCACUGAGGAAGUUAGAUCUUCAUUUCGAUGGCUGUUGCGUAGAUUUAAAUUAUGAUAAAUAAAAGUAUUAAUAAAUAUGACAAUAUAAAAUACUAAAUAAAAUUUUUAUUUCACAAAA